rnacentral:other from 1 species
ACGUCGCGAAAUGAAGCGAACAUCAGGAUGAUGGCGCUUCUGCAGGACCCGCCAGGACGGCGUUGCAGGGACAGGCUUCAGGAUGAAGCAAGGAUAACGCAGGAUCGCGUAAUGGACACCUCCAGGAUGGAGAACGAGAGCCGCUCAGGAUGAACGGUGGAUCAGGAAGAUCGGGACAAACUUAUGGAUAAGUCAUUUCGCAUCGGGGUGGUGUGAAAGCAGGAUGCACGUGUUUAUGGAUGAACAUGGUCAGGAGACCUCAGGAAAAGUUUUCAAGGACGAGCAGGGAGCACCAAUGUAGCGGGACUGCUGCAAAACGAACCGGGGGGGGGGGGGUUUUUUUCACUUUUCCUUUUUUUUUUUUU